UACGUAGGGUGCAAGCGUUAAUCGGAAUUACUGGGCGUAAAGCGUGCGCAGGUGGCAAUGUAAGUCUGCUGUUAAAGAGUCUAGCUCAAACUAGAUAAAAGCAGUGGAAACUACAUAGCUAGAGUACGUUCGGGGCAGAGGGAAUUCCUGGUGUAGCGGUGAAAUGCGUAGAUAUCAGGAGGAACACCUGCGGUGUAGACGGCUUACUGGACCAUAACUGACGCUGAGGCACGAAAGCGUGGGUAGCAAACAGG
rnacentral:rRNA from 1 species